ACGUAAUAGAUACCCGGGUAGUCCACGCCCUAAACGAUGUCUACUAGUUGUUGGUGGAGUAAAAUCCAUGAGUAAACGCAGCUAAACGCGUGAAGUAGACCGCCUGGGGAGUACGGUCGCAAGAUUAAAACCCAAAGGAAUUGACGGGGGCCCGCACAAGCGGUGGAUUAUGUGGAUUAAUUCGAUGCAACGCGAAAAACCUUACCUGGCCUUGACAUGCCACUAACGAAGCAGAGAUGCAUUAGGUGCCCGUAAGGGAAAGUGGACACAGGUGCUGCAUGGCUGUCGUCAGCUCGUGUCGUGAGAUAUUGGGUUAAGUCCCGCAACGAGCGCAACCCUUGCCAUUAAUUGCCAUCAUUUAGUUGGGCACUUUAAUGGGACUGCCGGUGACAAACCGGAGGAAGGUGGGGAUGACGUCAAGUCCUCAUGGCCCUUAUGGCCAGGGCUUCACACGUAAUACAAUGGUCGGUACAGAGAGUUGCCAACCCGCGAGGGGUAGCUAAUCUCAGAAAGCCGAUCGUAGUCCGGAUUGUUCUCUGC
rnacentral:rRNA from 1 species